CGCUCAUGGUAUGCCUUCUCAGCAGAGAUAACCGGUGCAUAGGAAGAAAGCAUGAAGUGAAUCCUUGGGUAGGGGACAAGAUUGGUCUGGAACUCUGUGACAUCAACAUUCAGGGCACCAUCAAACCUCAGGGAUGCCGUCAGAGACGAAAUCACCUGUGAAACCAGACGGUUUAGGUUGGUGUAGGUGGGGCGCUCAAUAUCAAGGGAGCGCCUGCAAAUGUCGUAAAUAGCUUCAUUGUCAAGGAGAACAGCAACAUCAGUGUGCUCCAGAAGAGAAUGGGUGGAGAGCACACUGUUGUAAGGCUCCACAACAGAUGUGGAGACCUGAGGUGAGGGAUAGACUGUGAAGCCAAGCUUGGAUUUCUUGCCAUAGUCAACUGAAAGGCGCUCAAGCAGAAGAGAGCCAAGGCCAGAGCCAGUGCCUCCACCAACAGCAUUGAAAACAAGGAACCCUUGGAGCCCAGUGCAAUUGUCUGCUAGCUUCCUGAUGCGGUCAAGGCAAAGAUCAACAAUCUCUUUGCCAAUGGUGUAGUGGCCACGUGCAAAGUUGUUAGCA
rnacentral:misc_RNA from 1 species